rnacentral:rRNA from 1 species
UGCCAGCAGCCGCGGUAAUACGGAGGGUGCAAGCGUUAAUCGGAAUUACUGGGCGUAAAGCGCGCGUAGGCGGUUUGGUAAGUGUGAUGUGAAAGCCCAGGGCUCAACCUUGGAACUGCAUCACAUACUGCCAGGCUAGAGUACGGUAGAGGGGGGUAGAAUUCAUAGUGUAGCGGUGGAAUGCGUAGAUAUUAUGAAGAAUACCAGUGGCGAAGGCGGCCUCCUGGGCCAAUACUGACGCUGAGGUUCGAAAGCGUGGGUAGCGAACAGGAUUAGAUA